rnacentral:rRNA from 1 species
AUUGAACGCUGGCGGCAGGCCUAACACAUGCCAGUCGAACGGUAACAGGAAGAAGCUUGCUUCUUUGCUGACGAGUGGCGGACGGGUGAGUAAUGUCUGGGAAACUGCCUGAUGGAGGGGGAUAACUACUGGAAACGGUAGCUAAUACCGCAUAACGUCGCAAGACCAAAGAGGGGGACCUUCGGGCCUCUUGCCAUCGGAUGUGCCCAGAUGGGAUUAGCUAGUAGGUGGGGUAACGGCUCACCUAGGCGACGAUCCCUAGCUGGUCUGAGAGGAUGACCAGCCACACUGGAACUGAGACACGGUCCAGACUCCUACGGGAGGCAGCAGUGGGGAAUAUUGCACAAUGGGCGCAAGCCUGAUGCAGCCAUGCCGCGUGUAUGAAGAAGGCCUUCGGGUUGUAAAGUACUUUCAGCAGGGAGGAAGGGAGUAAAGUUAAUACCUUUGCUCAUUGACGUUACCCGCAGAAGAAGCACCGGCUAACUCCGUG